rnacentral:rRNA from 1 species
AUUGAACGCUGGCGGCAGGCUUAACACAUGCAAGUCGAGCGCGCGGCGGACGGGUGAGUAAUGUCUGGGAAACUGCCUGCUGGAGGGGGAUAACUACUGGAAACGGUAGCUAAUACCGCAUACCAUCAGAUGUGCCCAGAUGGGAUUAGCUAGUAGGUGGGGUAAAGGCUCACCUAGGCGACGAUCCCUAUCUGGUCUGAGAGGAUGACCAGCCCCGCUGGAACUGAGACACGGUCCAGACUCCUACGGGAGGCAGCGGGGGGGAAUAUUGCACAAUGGGCGCAAGCCUGAUGCAGCCAUGCCGCGUGUGUGAAGAGGGCCUUCGGGUUGUAAAGCACUUUCAGCGAGGAGGCGUUACUCGCAGAAGAAGCACAGGCUAACUCCGUGCCAGCAGCCGCGGUAAUUC